rnacentral:lncRNA from 1 species
CUGGCCCUGGAUGAGAACGAUACCUUCUUCCUCCGGACUACAAUUUUGGUAUUGGACGAUUUCAAGUAAGUAUAUGGUUGACUCCAUUUGUUCACUAUUUACAUCGUCGGUGAUAAAAGUUUUUAGUUCAUGAUUUGAGUUUGAGUUUCUGUGAUACACGCUUCUAAUUUUCUUGUGAAAGUACUCACAAUCUUAACAACAUUUAUAAUUCGACUUUAGUGGCCUACUUUUUGGUGGAUUAUUGUCAAAACUUUGUAUGUCAACCGUAUCUUAUGAUUUUAAUUUUCCAUAAAAAGUAAAAUUCGCCAUAACAGCAUAUUGAUUAUCUGGUCUGGUCUCAUCUGAUACCUUAAGAGAAUCAGAAUAGGAACGCAUUUGUUUCAGAGAAAGAUCUGUUAAAUAUUUUCAACCUGAUCAUGUUUCUGUUACACUGCCCUAGGCACGGUUGUGGUUAAGAAGGAUUGUUAACAAAACACUAGAAGUAGGAGGAACCAGCAAUCAUGGACGGGCGGCACACGACCAAUCCCCAUCGGAUAUAUACUUAUUGGGUCUGCAUUAACGUGGGAUGGAUCGUAGCCAAUUCUUGGUUGUGGUCGCUUCCAGCCUGUUCUAUCUAUUCAUUCAGUGAGUUGAAGAAACAGUUUAUUAGCCGUUUUCGAGACUUAAGAAGUUAAAAAACUUUUUUUUUCCGCUUGUCCUUGUAAUUGAUAACUAAAAAG